rnacentral:rRNA from 1 species
CCCCGGCGCCACAAGUGGUUAUCACGAUUAUUGGGCCUAAAGCGUUCGUAGCCGGUCUGGUAAAUCUCUUGUGAAAUUGUUCGGCUUAACCGGACAGCGUGCAGGAGACACUGCCAGACUCGAGACCGGGAGGGGUUAGAAGUAUUCCAUGGGGACUGGUAAAAUGGGAUAAUCCAUGGAAGACUACCGAUGGCGAAGGCAUCUAACCAGAACGGAUCUGACGGUGAGGAACGAAAGCCAGGGGAGCGAACCGG